CCCUUUCAUGGAGGCAGCAGGCGCGCAAUUACCCAGUCCUGACUCAGGGAGGUAGUGACAAGAAAUAACAAUAAACCGGCUUAUGCCGGUUUAAUUGGAAUGAGUACAAUUUAAACAUCUUAACGAGGAACAAUUGGAGGGCAAGUCUGGUGCCAGCAGCCGCGGUAAUUCCAGCUCCAAUAGCGUAUACUAAAGUUGUUGCAGUUAAAAAGCUCGUAGUUGGAUUUCUGUGGGGACGGAGCGGCCGGCCGCAACAUGCGGUUCGAGCUAGCGCUUUCCCUACAUCCUGCCGCGAACCGCGCUACCAUUAAUUUGGUGGCGCCGGGGAUCGGCUCGAUUACUUUGAGAAAAAUAGAGUGUUCAAAGCAGGCCACAUGCCUUGAAUAAGUUAGCAUGGAAUAAUAACUAAGGACUUCGGUUCUAUUUUGUUGGUGUUCGGGACUGAAGUAAUGAUUGAUAGGGACAGUUGGGGCGGUCUGUAUUCCAAAGCGAGAGGUGAAAUUCUUAGACCUUCGGAAGACAAACAGCUGCGAAAGCGUUCCGCAAGGAUGUUCCCUUUGAUCAAGAACGAAAGUUGGGGGAUCGAAGACGAUCAGAUACCGUCGUAGUCUCAACUAUAAACUAUACCAGCUAGGGAUCGGCCAACGUUAUUUCAUACCGACUUGGUCGGCACCUUAUGAGAAAUCAAAGCAUCUGGGUUCCGGGGGGAGUAUGGUCGCAAGGCUGAAACUUAAAGGAAUUGACGGAAGGGCACCACCAGCCGUGGAGCCUGUGGCUUAAUUUGACUCAACACGGGAAAACUUACCAGGUCCAGACAUAGUAAGGAUUGACAGAUUGAUAGCUCUUUCUUGAUUCUGUGGGUGGUGGUGCAUGGCCGUUCUUAGUUGGUGGAGUGAUUUGUCUGGUUAAUUCCGUUAACGAACGAGACCCCAGCCUGCUAAAUAGCGCGCGUGAGCUUUGCUCGCGGCGAGCUUCUUAGAGGGACUAUGAUGCGCGAUAGCACAUGGAAGUUUGGGGCAAUAACAGGUCUGUGAUGCCCUUAGAUGUUCUGGGCCGCACACGGGCUACACUGGCGCCUGCAACGAGCAUAUCAGCUGGCCCGAGAGGGUCUUGGCUAAUCUUUUGAACCGGCGCCGUGCUUGGGAUUGACCUUUGCAAUUGUUGGUCAUGCAACGAGGAAUGCCUUGUAAACGCGAGUCAUCAGCUCGCAUUGAAUACGUCCCUGCCCUUUGUACACACCGCCCGUCGCUCCUACCGAUGAAUGUUCCGAUGAAAUUUUCGGAGAGUGCCUGUGAACUUGGCUCUGCCUUGCGAACGGGAAGCUCAAAGUCACUUAAAUCUAAACUUGGG
rnacentral:rRNA from 1 species